GUGACCCCAGGAUGGGCGAGGCCACCCGCCGAUU
rnacentral:rRNA from 1 species